rnacentral:lncRNA from 1 species
GGGGGCACACCCAUGGCAUAUGGCGGUUCCCAGGCUAGGGGUCAAAUCAGAACUUUAGCUGCCGGCCUACACCACAGACACAGCAACGUGGGAUCUGAGCCGCCUCUACGACCUACACCAUAGCUCAAGGCAAUGCCAGAUCCUUAACCCAUUGAGCAAGGGCUCAAACCCUCAUCCUCAUGGAUGCUAGUCAGGUUCUUCACCCGCUGAGCCACAACGGGAACUCCCGAAGAGACGUUUCGAUGGAAGAAUGCAUGUAAAGCACUUAGCAGAGUUCCUUUCGCAUAGUGGUUCACUCAGGAGCUGUUAGCUACAAGGUCUGCUUAUUAAAAAUUUCCUGCCUCACCCCGAUUUUACUCAUGCGUACAGAAGUAAGGAAGAGAGAGAGGCAGGGAGAAACCCAGACUGUUUGGUUGGCUCUCAUGUUGGCAAUAGAAGGGCUGGUCCAAGUCCAUAAGCCCGACAUGCGUGGCCUCCUUGGCUCCCGCCACCUGCUCACCUGGAGGCUCUUUACACUCUGUAGAAGACUUUUUUUUUUCUCCUUCUAAGUUUGGCCCGGCCAAUUCUAAUGAAAACACCUCUGAGUUCCAGAAUGAUGGUACGAAGGGGAAGGACCCCGCAUGGCUGCAAGGCGCCAGCUGCUCCUGCUGUGACCUGGACAGGAGGAUGGAGCCCUGGGCCUGCCCGGGAGGGUGGGUUCUAGAGUGCUCAGGCCUGGUGUGGAGGGGGUCCCCACAUCUCUGAGACCCGACAGAAGCAUCAUUUGAAGGGUGACAUGCCUUCUUGUUUUGUGGUGUCGUGUUUAGUUUUUUAAAAUCAAAUAGUAUCCAUGUAUGUGUCACUGCGCUGGGGUGCGUGUUGGCGCGGGAUGUGGUGAGAGACGGUAUCAGCCUCGCUGGGAAACUUAGUCCAAAUCAACAGCUAACAUUUCUCCUACCCAUCCUGAAAAUGCCAGGAUUCUCAGUCAUUCUGUGUGUGGGGGGCGGGGCGGGGGCGCGGGGGGGUUGGUUUUUUAUGUCUUUUUAAGGCUGCUCCUAUGGCAUAUGGAGGUGCCCAGCCUAGGGGUCCAAUCAGAGCUGCAGCUGCCAGUCUACACCACAGCCACAGCAAUGCCAGAUCCGAGCUGCAUCUGCGACCUACACCACAGCUCAGGGCAAUGCCAGAUCCUUAAGGAUCUGAGUGAGGCCAGGGAUCGAACCCUUGACCUAGUGGAUACUAGUCAAGUUCUUAAAAUGCUGAGCCAGGACAGGAACUCCUGUUUCAGUCAUUCUGAUGGGACUGUGGCAUCUGGACACGAAUCUUGAUAAAGAAGCCCAAGGCAUCUGACAUCGCCCCUCCAGCUGCAAGAACGAGUGCUAAGCUGUCCGAGGGGCCACAGCCACCUGCCGGCAGAGAGCUCGUCGGAGGUAGAAGGUGAAACCCAGCGCUCCUCCAGGCGCCUAUGCCGCUUGUUCAUCUUUUUCUACCAAAGCCGACACCACACCGUCCUUGCUGUUCCCGCUUUGUUUAGUCCCGCUCUGGCUUACGCCCUGCCUUUCUCUGCUUGUCCCCCUCCUGUUGGCCUCUGGGGACACUUCAGAGCCCAUGAGCAGAGUAUAAGGACGUCAUCGCUCAGCGCUGCCCUUUUCCCAUUUCCUUUGUGAUGGCGCACCCGCUGCAUAUGGAGGCUCCCAGGCUAGGGGCCCAAUCGAGCUGCAGCCACUGGCCUACACCACAGCCACAGCAACGCGGGAUCCGAACCUCAUCUGUGACCACAGCCACAGCAACCAGGGAUCCGAGCCAAAUCUGUGACCACAGCCACAGCAACACAGGAUCCAAGCCAAAUCUGUGACCACAGCCAUAGCAACGCCAGAUCCUUAACCUCUGAGCGAGGCCAGGGAUUGAACCCACAUCCUCACAGACACUGUCGGGUUCUUAACCUGCUGAGCCACAAUGGGAACUCCACUAGCACUGUGAAGGGGGGGUUAGAAAACAGACUUUCAGGUACUGAUGAAAUGCUACUAGGGCGAGGGCCAGUACAGAGGUGCUGGGCAGCGCAAGGGAGAGACGACAAAAGCCUGGGCCAAGUGCUUGCUCCACCUGUAACAGUUCAGGGCGGAGCUCCCAGGGCGUGGACUUGGAAUUCUACGUGCUGUCAGGAGACCUGCCUGACCCCCUGACCAAGAUCCCGGGAACAACAUUAACUGGCACGAAUGUGUGAGCUCCCCUGGGGAGACCUGAUUCACGUCUCCCAGGACUCCUCCAACUCUACCUUCUCUGAACAGAGAGAAGAGCUCUCCCCUCUUGUUCUCACCAGCUCCACUCACCUGUGAUGGGGAGAGAGCCAGGCGCCUGAGAUGCCUGUCCUUUCAGACUGUGAGGUCUGCGAUCAGGGGCCCGAGAGAGUCUGGGCCCCAGCGGUCCUCCAAGAAGACAACGCUAAAGUCAGGUGGCCGGGGAGGGGCAUGAAGAAAGCCAGAGGUGGGGGUGUUGACAGGAGGGGGGCACAGAGGGGCGAUGAACCUGAGCCACUGAAACCAACAAUGCCUCCGACAUGAACCCUCCAGACCCCAGACUGGGACUCGAAGCCACAUGCCCGGACUCGAGCCUCGCCAAAAACCGGAUUGGGACUUGAACUCACAUUGGUUUAAGUUAGAAUCCCUCACCUGGUGUCUGGACUAACCGAGAUUCAGGUGCUUUGUGUCUCAGCACAGAAGGAAAUCAGCAAGAGACAAAGUGACAGCAGAUUUAUCACCAUCACAUCUCGAAUAAAUACGGGGCCAUCCUGAGACCCCCCCAAGGAACCUAGACGGAGAAGAGGAGGGGGAAAAAGUGUGAUGCGUGCAGUGCUGACUCCGAAUUGAUCAGGAAAUGCAAAUGGGGACAUUUCCUGUUCAUUUUCAAAAUCAACUGAAUUG